GGACCCACCUGAUUCCAUGCCGAACUCAGAAGUGAAACGAAUUAGCGCCGAUGGUAGUGUGGGGCUUCCCCAUGUGAGAGUAGGACAUCGCCAGGC
rnacentral:rRNA from 1 species